GAUGAACGCUGGCGGCGUGCUUAACACAUGCAAGUCGAACGGAGAUGCCAUAUGAGCGGAGAGUGCUUGCACUUAACAAUCUUUUGACAUCUUAGUGGCGGACGGGUGAGUAACGCGUGGGUAACCUGCCUCAUACAGGGGGAUAACACUUAGAAAUAGGUGCUAAUACCGCAUAAGCGCACAGAGUCGCAUGACUCAGUGUGAAAAACUCCGGUGGUAUGAGAUGGACCCGCGUCUGAUUAACUAGUUGGUGAGGUAACGGCCCACCAAGGCAACGAUCAGUAGCCGGCCUGAGAGGGUNAACGGCCACAUUGGGACUGAGACA
rnacentral:rRNA from 1 species